ensembl:lncRNA
AAGGACACCUGCACUUUUCUGCUUCUCCCCUUAGCAAGGGUGGGGAGAGGGCAGUGAGGAAGGAGGAGGGACAGACAGCAGUGCAGGCUCUGCACACGCAGAGCCCCCAGCAUGGAUAUCUUUAGGGUUAGGCCUGAUGCGUGCAGGAGCGUUUGCAUCUCACCAGGGCUUUGAUCCAGCUGUAAUUCUGACUUUGCUCUUGAGGUUUGAACGCUGCAUACAAAGCACAUGUUUCUCCUGCGGCUGAGAAAAUCCCACCAGGCAAGCGAUGGAAUCUACACUACCAACGUCCUAAGAGUGCACACAGCAUAAUCCUGCUCCGCUUUACUUCGGGAGGACCGUUUCCCAUUUUGGUUAAGGAGAAGUUCAUAAACACCGAUGGGAGAGAAAACACGACUGCGUUGAGUGAUACGGACUCCUGUUGAAGUCAUUAUUGAUACAGCACCCCAAAGGUUUGGAGGAACUGAUUCAGUGGGUGGUGCUGGGAGAAGAAGGCCCAGGUCUCAGCAGGAGAUCCCACCACUCCCACCCCAACCUGCCCCACGUGCCAGGCAGCAGAGAGCCAUUCAUCACAAGCGUCCGUGCAAUAAUGGAAUGGAUGUAUGGUGUUUGCAGUACCAAGUAACUCAUUGUUAAGAAUUUGCACGUGAUAUGGACAAAGCCAUUGCUAUCCUGGAGGGGAAGCCUUUCUGGGAAACAUUAGCUUGUUUUCAGGAGAUCUGCUGCAAGUGAGGAAAUGGGGGCUCUGUGCAUAGUGGAUGUGCUGGGAGUUGUGCUGGGCACGGAGAUGGACCUCAGAGCAUAUAAUGGAAACUCUCUGCCCGUGUGGAAAUCUGAUUUUGCCAGGAGAACCCAGCAGUUUGGAAAGCAGAGGUGCUGGGGAGGCUCAGCAGCAUGCUUUUGUGUGACACGGGAUAAGAAACACAUGUGAGGCUGGAGGAGAGGAUUAAUGCAUGCAUACGAGCUACUGUAGGAGAACAGCAAUUACUGGAAAAUUACAUUUUCCAGGAGACUAAAGUAAUCUUUUUACCCACAUUGCAAACAUACUGUAAAUGUGCUUUGAAAUAUUAUGACUUCAAAAAGUGCAUUUUAAAAGUAAAAACCCAUGGCACCGGGAGUGCCUCCUUCAUGUUUUUGCACAUCCAUCCCUGCAUAACCAACGGCGGCAGCCAGGGGACACGAUUGCUGCUUCAGUGCAGGAAAUGGAAACCAGAAGGGGACGGGCUGGGCUGGGAGGCUGAGGACAGGGCGACAGGCAGGUGUCCCCCCCGGUGUUUAUUCCCCUUUCCUCUUACUGUUGGGUGGAGGAGUGAAGAACAGG